CUACCAUAAGUCAAAGGGACAUGACACGAAAGAGUAAAAAAAUUCACAAAGCUUUAAUGACUGUGUUCGUCAUCAGACACAAAAAUCCAAUCCCACCAAAGUAGAACUUUGCCAAGAAAAACCAAAGGCUGAAGUAAAAGUAAACACAAAAAGAACCAAAAAUCUCAUAACAGAAGACAGAGCACCCACGAGGACGAAGCCGC
rnacentral:lncRNA from 1 species